rnacentral:rRNA from 1 species
UGGGGAAUCUUGGACAAUGGGCGCAAGCCUGAUCCAGCCAUGCCGCGUGAGUGAUGAAGGCCUUAGGGUUGUAAAGCUCUUUUGCCGGGGACGAUAAUGACGGUACCCGGAGAAUAAGUCCCGGCUAACUUCGUGCCAGCAGCCGCGGUAAUACGAAGGGAGCUAGCGUUGUUCGGAAUCACUGGGCGUAAAGCGCACGUAGGCGGAUAGUUAAGUCAGGGGUGAAAUCCUGGGGCUCAACCCCAGAACUGCCUUUGAUACUGGCUGUCUCGAGGUCGAGAGAGGUUGGUGGAAUUCCUAGUGUAGAGGUGAAAUUCGUAGAUAUUAGGAAGAACACCAGUGGCGAAGGCGGCCAACUGGCUCGAUACUGACGCUGAGGUGCGAAAGCGUGGGGAGCAAACAGGAUUAGAUACCCCCGUAGUCCCUGAGCGGGCUGGCAAGGCGCAU